GGGAAUUGUUAACUAAUAAAAAAGUUAAAAUAAAUUAUUAGUAUAGCACUAUAGCCCUUUUAUCAGAAACAUUUUUAUUACCUAGUCUUGUAAAUAAGUUAGGUAGGUAAUUUCAAUAAUAUAAAUAAUUCCUCUCAGAUAAAACACCCUAUUAAUAUCUAUCAGCAGUUAAUCUGACAAUUCACAAAUAUAACUGUCAAGUGAAUGAUUUGUGGAUUUAUAUAAUUUAAUAUACCUAGUUGGUUUAUUGUACAUAUUAUUAUAUUAUAUAACGUCAACUGAUAUACAACCUACCUCACAGUUAAUUCUCAUAUAGUAUAUUUUCAAUACAAUAUUCUGUUGUAACGUAACGUCUUAUUUUUUUCCUAGUACUUUAUUGGGAUAAACAUUCAUAUUUAUGUACGUAUUGCCUGUAAUCUCUAUAUGUACUUGUGUUGCUUAUACUCUAAAUAAUGAUAUUAUGAAUAGUUGUAAGUUUAUACUGCCACAAAAUUGUAUAAAAUAUUUGUAGUUAUUAUGCACAGUGGGCGUUAUUAUAAAUAUGUAACCUGAAAUAUACCCGUACAUCGUGAUUAAGUACAAAUCAAAACUUAUUUGCCAAUUAUCGUUAUAUAGGACGCUUAACAAUGUAUAAUAUAUGUACCUAUAUAACAAGGCCAUACAAUGUUGAAGUAAGUUUUCUAUAAUUAUUUUAUCUACCUAUCGAUUUGCAACGCGCGUAAAAUUAAUACAAUACCUAAGUAUAGGCGUAUAGCUACUUUCCCACAGUUAUUCGGAACUAUAUGGGAAAACUAAUUUGUUUUUUCACAACGGAACGGAGGUGGAUUGAAAUGAAUUGUAGCCAACAGUUUGUUAAGUCGCAGAGACGUAUUUGGAUUUUACACGUCGACAAAUGUGGUUUGACUUAAAUAAUCUGUAUUAAAUAUGUACUGUUGAUUUAAGAAAAAUCAUUAUAUCAGUUGGCAGAUAUAAAGCAGUCUAUACGAGAUCGUGGGAACUACCAUUUGGACGUCAUAAUAUAUAGAAUUAUAGGAACCUAUUAUAUAGCUAGUGUAAAUCGAAAUUGACAAAUUACUAUCGACAUUAUGGUGACUUAUUCGAUGUCGUCGAACAACCAGAAACACGAUCUAUCGAAUAGUAAGUAUACAAUAUUAUUGUGA